UACGGGGGGGGCGAGCGUUGUUCGGAAUUACUGGGCGUAAAGGGUUCGUAGGUGGCCGGCUAAGUCAGACGUGAAAUCCCUCAGCUCAACUGGGGAACUGCGUCUGAGACUGGUCGGCUCGAGUCCGGGAGAGGUGAGUGGAACUGCGAGUGUAGAGGUGAAAUUCGUAGAUAUUCGCAAGAACACCAGUGGCGAAGGCGGCUCACUGGCCCGAUACUGACGCUGAGGCACGAAAGCGUGGGGAGCAAACAGG
rnacentral:rRNA from 1 species